GUGAGGAAUCUUGCGCAAUGGGGGAAACCCUGACGCAGCAACGCCGCGUGAGUGAGGAAGGUCUUCGGAUCGUAAAGCUCUGUCAGGUGAGAAGAAAUAUGAGAAGGUUAAUAGCCUUCUUGCUUGACGGUACCACCAGAGGAAGCACCGGCCAACUCCGUGCCAGCAGCCGCGGUAAUACGGGGGGUGCAAGCGUUGUUCGGAAUCAUUGGGCGUAAAGAGCGUGUAGGCGGCUGGGUAAGUCAGAUGUGAAAGCCCUGAGCUCAACUCAGGAAGUGCAUUUGAAACUGUCCAGCUCGAGUAAGGGAGAGGAAAGUGGAAUUCCUGGUGUAGAGGUGAAAUUCGUAGAUAUCAGGAGGAACACCGGUGGCGAAGGCGACUUUCUGGCCCUAUACUGACGCUGAGACGCGAGAGCGUGGGUAGCAAACAGGAUUAGAAACCCUAGUAGUCC
rnacentral:rRNA from 1 species